UUAGGUGAGACAUCUCUUUAUCUGUUUGUACUAACAAAAUAAAAUAUUUCGUAAUGAACAGCAGAACAUGCAAAACAUGCUUGUCUGUCCAUCUCAGUGAUGAGAUGGCAAAUUUGUUGAGUAAAUCUGACUAAGGAAGCAAAUCUGAGAAGUGUUCCUAAAAGUAACUUGUCCCAGUGUGAUUUUCAUAGCAAUCCAUCAUUUUUUCCAAAGAUUUUUUUAUGAAGCUACAACAUAGAAGGUCGUGACCCAGUAAGCAUCAUACAGGGAGCUCCUAUGUAUGAAAGGAACUUUCUUCAGUAUUGAUACUGGGAUAAAUGACUUUGUUCUCAUCAACUUUCAGUUUAAAGAAACCAUUAACUCCUCAAAGACCACAAGUACACCUGUUACCACCACCCGGUUCCAAAUCGAUGAUUGCUUGGAUUCUAGAAAAAAACAAUGCUCGGUAAAGUAAAUUUUACAGUUGCCAACCACAAUAGUUCCGCACUGUAAUAAAAUCUCGGUCAGUGACUCGGUGUCGCCAACGUGAUACAAAGUUAUUCAACUCUUUACAUCAAACCUGUUGAGAAGGAUGCCCCAGGCUGGACACUAUUACUCCAAUUGAAAAUGAAUGGACACAGGUAACAAGUUUAGAGAGACUUUUAUCAGAUCACCUUGCAACCUCUUACUUUCAUUUGAAAGUAAUUCAAUUCAUUUAUAGCACUCAUGCAAGAUGCAACCACCAUUUAGACAUCUUAAAAACGUAUUUUAGGAUAUGCAAACUAUGGCACUUAAUUUUUAUAUAAUACUUCGCAAGUUUGUCGCAUGUGAAAAAGAAUAAAAAUGGAAUGUGAUGCCUAGGUAGCAUAAUGAGGUCAGAAGAUUGCCCAACAUCUAUGGAAAAAUGACUUGAUUGAUGAACCAGCUAUAUUUAGCAGGUUGGCUUUAUUGGAGAACUGUUAAACAUUUGAUAUUCAUAAUGUUCGCAAGGCUUUUAAGAAAAUAGUUUUCAUUGCACUGGCGACAAUUCGGAAUGGCGAGGUGCGAAUGAAUCGGAUUAAAAGUCAGCGUGGAAAUGCAAUAGUUCCGCAGCUGGCAAGAAAUGAGAGGACGAUUGGUGAUGAGACAAUUUAUUCUAAUCGCUGUAACUCAUGGACACGUCGACAUUCGUGGUAAUCAAACUUAGAACGUCUGCAAUGCGAAAUUUUUCACCAAUAUAAAGGAAAGCUGCAAACAUAUUUUCAGCAUUUUUAAUAAAAAAAUAAGCGCGUUCAUUCCCUUCAACCAAUUGUCAACGCGAGGCCCCGUAGGAACCUUCCAUACGUCACUUUUAUUGUAGCUGACAGUGACUGUAAUUAUGGCUUACUUAGCCCAUGCUUAUCCAGAGCUGCCUUGUUGAUCCCCGCCCUAAAAACUAUCAUCUUCAAAAGCUUCCAGGUUUGUUGUGGUCGUAGAACAGCAGACGACGAAGUUCAAAGCGGCAUUGUACCAUCGGGCAGAAUCCAAACGGUUGAUGCAUUGAAAAUGUCGGAGCUCUGUUGAUGAAUUUUCACCAGCACUCUUCCACAAGACGCGCGCGAAGCAAACGAUAGCAAAGGAGAUAUGGACUUGAAUUGGUUGUUUACCACCCGUGGCUUUCCCGCAUCCCAGGAUUAGUCUUGUACACCUUUUGCACUUGUACAGAGCGUUCGGGAACGAAAUUAGUUGUGGAUGGGUUUGCUGUUGACAAGCAAGGGAAGGAUUUUUACUACCAAACUAGAUAGGAAUGAAAUUUGUUGUGGCUGGUUUGUUUGUUGACAAGCAAGGGAAGGAUUUUUUUACCAAAGUAGACAGGAUAUUUAUUCUUAAUCCCACAAUGUCUUGACUACAAAUCAUGCUGAAUUAGAAUAGUAUGUUGAUCGAGGCUGGGUGCCAAAGCAAUGGAUGAUAAUUGAUUGGACUCUAAUCACUGCUGAGAUGGCCACUGAUGUGCAGUUCUUGUACUGCGAAUUCCCGGAUUGCCUUUGAAUGAUUGCCGAUGACAUCUCAAUUCUGUAGUUGGUAGAUAUCUGUUGAACAUAGUUGAAACUCA